GUGCUCACUUCAGUAGCACACGUACUAAAACUGGACCAAUACAGAGAAGAUGAGCAUGGCCCCUGCGCGAGGACCACAUGCAAAUUCGUGAAGUAUUCCAUAUUAAA
rnacentral:snRNA from 1 species